GUGCUGACUUUGGCAGCACAUGUACUAAAAUUGGAAGGAUAUAGAAAAGAUUAGCAGGACCC
rnacentral:snRNA from 1 species